GCAAACAUACACAGACUAUGCCAGCACAGCUGAGAAACCAACCAAGCCUAACUAAGCACCACCGACGCACACGGAAGGACACAUGCACAGCCACGGGGGAGAAAGAAAAGGAUAACCCCGACGCUGGUAAAUAAGAGAAGAAACCUAAACCCACUCCCCCGGCCGCCACGACCGAGGAAGGAAAUCGCCCGCCGCCGCCGCCGAACACCCAAGCUAGCACCCAAGCUAGCGAGGGAGAAACAGCUCCCCGGUCUAGUACGCGACCAUAAAAGAAGAAGGGGACGUAGCCAACAGAGUUGAGCACCUAAACGUAGCAGACGUAGCGAGAAGAAGAGAUACAAGCCUCCAAACAAUAACAAAAGUAAGAAAAACCAACAACGGCCAAACUAAAAACACUAACCCUGAGUAAACACCACAGAACAGUGCGGGCAACAACAACGCUCUAGCUCCGCACUCGAUCUUGAGUCUCUAUGCACUUAAACCCCCUUUUGAGUUCUCGUCUCUCUUCUUGUCUCUGCGCUCUCUAUCUUCGUCUACCCCUUUAAGAGUAAGGAAGUUAAGAAUGGAAGAAGUGGUCAGGUUGGACUGGUUUAUCGGUUCUGGGGUGAAUUGAAUUGUGUGCGUGUGUGGUGCGCGAUGUGUUGAGGCCUUCUUAAUGCGGAGAAACGGACUACGAGGUAGUCCACAAUGUACACACACCUAACGUACAAACCUCCAGCGUACACUCACGACCUCGCCCCCUAGGAAACAGGAGUAGAAAAAAAAAGACAUACUCAAACACCAAUCCGAGGGUGUACAGCAACAAGUUUAACCACCACACUCUAUCAAAAACAAUAAUAGGACUUAUUCUACCAAUAGAUCCCUACAAACCUCCCAAUCGGAAUACUACAACAUUCCCCCAAAACAAAAUAUAACUAUCCCGAAAACCAACACAAAUCAUUAAAAAAGAAUCCUCUUACUCUUAAGACUAUUGGUUCGAAAAGUUGGAGUAAAAAGCCCGUUUGUUCUACGGUCUUCUUACCUCUGCCUCAUAUAAUCAUGGUUAGAAGUUCUUGUUCCCCCUACAAGUCUCAACAUGAUUAAUGGCACCUUAAUUCGACUACUCGGUAUGUUACUUCGAUACCCUCUCUCAGUAACUCGUGGCGAAUUCUUCUUACUGUUCGCACUGGUUUUUAGUCAAACCAAAGUACGUACCCUCCAGCUGGUACCUUCGGUAAAAGAACCAUGCUGUUAAAUAUUUCUCUGUGUCCCUCGUUUUCUUCCUGAACGUAUACCACAAGUAACUGAACCUCUUCCGGAUACUAUUCUAUGACACCUUACAGUACACCACCCGGAACCUCUUUGUGUUUCAGGGUCGUUUCAUGUAAUGGGAGUAGUUCCUGUACAUGCUAUUACAACACUGUUCACAAGCUUGUUCACUACAAGCUGUAACUACUGAAGGGUUAAUUCUAUCCUGACGUAGUCCCCAGUCAAAACUCGCGAAUAGAAAAACGGAACGACUACCUACUCCAGUGUUCCCUAUAUGUUCCUCUAUAGGGUACCACAUACGAGAAGCGCCUACUACACCAAGAUCAACUGCUAUCAGCUUGCCCCCAUUUAUCCUUCAAUCUCAAUAUCUCUGUUUGGAACCUUAGCUUUCCCAAAUCCGAAUCAUCUUGAUUUUGGCUCAUGUACUACACGCCAAAGUCAUGAUGAUCCACACUCCUCCUCCAAUCGGAACUGCCCGUCCACCACGGAGUCUUCUUGUGGAAAGCUAUAAACCCCAGUUACGACGUCCUCCUACCCCUAUAACUUGUUCUGCACUUGGUAGCCUAGUUUCGGUCUACCUACUUCACCGCGGUUCGAAAACGGUAAGAGACACUAUUCUCUCACGGUGUUUUCGAUUUUCUGUUCAAGAUAUCCUGUCGCCAAGCUGGGCGUUACAACAUACCGCGACUCACAACCGGCUGAUUUUCCGCUGUACAAGUUGUCAAUCCACACCGCCUCUACGCAUACAACUCUACCUACACACCGGUGUGCUCCUUCCUAGCUCAGGCCUUACUACUAUAUGCUCUAUCUCAACCCCAUCGCGGUUAACUUCUCUUCGAACAGGUUGUAGCAGACUCUACCAAACCCGUAUAAGUCGCAUCCGGAGGUCUUCGAGGUCACGUAUCGCCUUCCGAUUUCGCACGCCUCUUACAGUUCUCUCCAGUCCCAUCUGGCUUGAACUGUACCCUCCUCAGGCAAUUCUCUCUGGAUUUCCUAACCUCAUACUGGUUUCUUGAUCGAUACCUGUCCCCACGCACCUUGGAACGAUAGGUACACGGUCUCGGUACUCAAUCAGCGUCUAGAAAUACCCAAAGUGGAGAUCGGAUGGGGUUGAACAAACCCUGAUUUCCGAAACAACAACAACAACAACAACAACAACAACAACAACAAUACCAAAUUACCAACGAAAACAAGAAGAAGUUGCCAGUCUCACGACGACCCAGACACCAUCCAAGCCAAAUACACACACAAAAUUAACAGUACAUGAGGAUGUCUUUUCUUCUAAACAGACACCAAAUAAAUCCAACAACAAAGACACAAAUCCAUCUAAUAAGUCGUUUACGAACCCCCACCCAGUACACUACAACGACACUUCACAGACAAAAUACCACCACCACAAAAAUCUCCCGAAAAUAAUGCAGACCAACUUCUAAGAUACCGUAAUAGUAAAACAGAACGACGUUGACGUCAGGUGCAACAUCGAUACGAUCGAGAAUCCAUUUUUAGUACCAAGCACAACGAACCAUCCUCCAAGUUUACCAAUAAACUUCAGCAAAACCAACUACAGAACGACUUCGUACGUAUACAAACCAUAUAGGUCAAUACAUAUACAUAUCAACAAAAUACAGACCGAGACUCGCUCGGAACCACAAUCGAAGCCACGACGGUCGUAACGAUUUGUACAUGAAAUGAACACGACAGAGUAACCAAUAGAAGCUAGUUCUUCUUUUCUAACAUACUGGACCAUCACCUUAACUACCCAGAUUCAAUUGUAUCUAAAUAUCUAAAGAUAUGGAUGAUUAUUUUCUUUAUCCAUAAGAACCAGGCAGUACGAUAAAAAGUCUUGUGUGAGUUCAAAAACCAUUAUUUGGGCGUCAUGUACAAUUGUCUAAAAAAUUUUUAGGUAUUGAAAAAUUAGGAUUGAGGUUUAAAUUGUACAAUAUAUACUUUAAACUAAUCUUUUUAUACAUCUUAGACUUAUACUAUAAUAAAAAUUGACAAUUUGUAAAUUUUUAUACGAUAAAUGCUACUUUGGAAUUAGUUAUCGCGUACUAGUCAGAAAGGAAGUAUGGCCACGGCGAGGCUUAACUUUUACUUGGAAGCCAUUUUGGUCCUAACACUUUAUUUGUUAUAGAUUUUUUAAGUGUUUUUUUUUCUAAAUAGUAGGAUACGGCUUUCCCUCUGAAGAAUUCUAACUGUUGUAAGUUUGCACAACACUACCACACUUGUGACUCGGGUCGUAGUUGCUCUUACCCUUCUUCCUAUUUAUCUUUGUGUCUACCCUACGGUACACAACUUUAUUUCCUGUACCUGGAUGCUUAAGUACCAAUAAUCUAAUCACUCACAAAAAAGUGGACAACGUUGCGUGCCCGAGUAAACGUAGCAUACGGCUCUCUCUCUGCAGAAUUCUAACUGUUGUAAGUUUACACAACACAACUACAGUUGUGACUCCGGUUGUAGCUGCUCUCACCCUUCUUUCCAUUUAUCUUUGUGUCUACCCUACGGUACACAACUUUAUUUCCUGUACCUGGAUGACUUCAAACCUGAGUACCAAUAAUCUAAUCCUUCACAAAAAGUGGGCAACGUUGCGUGCCCGAGUAAACGUUCACAAAAAGAAUACAUAAUGACAGUAAACAUCGGUUUGACGAUAUACAGCAAAAGUAGGCUGAGAAAAGGAUUAAUCAGGUCAAAAUAACCAUACACAUAACUCUAAGUAAAUAAAAUAGGGGAAACACAAAACAAAGAGACACGAAAUUGUACCAGCAGGUCCUUCCCGUUAACAAGUCAAUACGGCGACCUCUAGUACCGAGACCAACCUUCCUUUAUACAGCAGCUUCACUCGCGCGGUGCUAUAAGGAAAUCCUCUCUAUUCCUACGGAACUGAAAGAUCCAAGCGUUCAAGAAGGGUCACCCACCUAGAUACAUAAUACUAAAGCAACGUCCGUCGUCAAGAAGGACAUGGCCACGACGUCGCCUUAACGGACGAGUAGAACUACCUCACCGACGACUUCGAAGACCGCGACGAUCGGUCGCGGUACUCGAGGGACUUCCACAGAAAUGCGGUCGUUUCCUACACAACCUUUGGAUCUGCGUCUUACUUGUACAACUACUAUGUAGUCUCACUCACUUCCUCCUACUAGGUGGUUUCUUAUUAUUUUACAGAUCGAAUCUAUUAAAUCGUAAAGAAUUAGACACUCACCGGAACAAUAUUACGAGACCUCUACAUGACGCAAUGUGGUCCCGGCCACGUCGACGACAUUUUAGGUGUCAACUUUUCUUCAACCGACAUUCACCCAGCCUUUUCCCACCAGCACACAUGCACACCUUAAGUAGCCUUAAGCAACAGGAAUAAACAUUAUCCUUCUUUCCUAAAUGUUACAAGUACGAAUUGACAAAACAUCCCACUUAUUAUUGACUUGUUUGGGUGCUUCUUGGUUGGUCGGUAUCCUCGGACUUUUUUUUUAAGUGUGGGUUUUCUUUUGAGCGCGCCGUCCCGCACGCAUAGAGAGAUCAAAUAUGAUUGAUCAUUUACGCAUGCACGUUACGGGCAAUUCUAAUCCUGCCUUUAA
rnacentral:rRNA from 1 species